GACAGAGGGUGCAAACGUUGUUCGGAAUUACUGGGCGUAAAGAGCGUGUAGGCGGCCAGAUAGGUCUGCUGUGAAAACUCGAGGCUCAACCUCGAGCUGUCGGCGGAAACCAUCCGGCUAGAGUCCGGAAGAGGAGAGUGGAAUUCCCGGUGUAGCGGUGAAAUGCGCAGAUAUCGGGAAGAACACCUGUGGCGAAGGCGGCUUUCUGGGUCUUACCUGACGCUGAGACGCGAAAGCGUGGGGAGCGAACCGG
rnacentral:rRNA from 1 species